AAAUUGAAAAGAGUGAUGAAUGACAAAAAUAGAAAAAAAUUGUCUGAAAGAGUUGAAACUGAAGUUCGAGAAAAUGAAUGGGCUAGUGAUGAUGGAAAUGAGGAUGAUUUGGUUAGCUUAGAAGGUAGUGAUGAAAAUCAAAAUGAAAAGCACUCUUUUUCUAAAGAAUCUAAUUCAAUGAAAAAUGUAAAUCUGGUAGUUGGGAUGAAAUUCCAAAAUGCUGCACAGUUUAGGGUGGCUUUGAGGGACUGGUGCAUACGGAAUGGGGUAGAUAUUGAAUUUUUAAGAAAUCAAUGGAGGGUUGUAAAUGGAGGAUCCAUGCCUCACCAAUACAAGGUGGACCUACAUUCCAAAUUAAAACAAUGAAGGGCAAGCAUACAUGUGGAAGAACAUAUGAAAAUAGGAUUGCCAAUGCAUCCUAUCUUGCAAAAAGAAUUGAAAAUGCAAUAAGAGAUAAUCCAACAAUUCUUGUUCAGCAACUGAAAAAUAGAAUUCGCUCAAAAUGCAAUGUGGAUGUGAGUAGAUUUAAGGUGAUGAGAGCCAAAAAAGAAGCUUUACAGAGAAUCAGGAGGGAUGAUGCAAAGCAAUACGAAUUGUUGUGGGAUUACUAUGAAACUGUCAGAACUCCAGGGUCUUAAGCUCAUACUUAAAAAACUGGAAAAUUUUGAUCCCCCAGUUUUUGAUAGAAUGUAUUUCAAUCUGCAUGCUUUAAAGAAGGGGUUUAUGGAAGGGUGUAGGCCAAUCAUAGGCCUUGAUGGUUGAUUCUUAAAAACUGUCUAUGGGGUCAAUUGCUUGUAGCUGUGAGAAGGGAUGAAAAUGAUAAUAUGUUCCCAAUUGUGAUGACUAUAACACAGGUAGAAAACAAGGAUACUUGGGGUUGGUUUGUGAGUGAGCUUUUGGAUGAAAUAUGGAGUUUGGGCACCACAAAAUACUCUUUUAUUUCUGAUAGAAAAAAAGGUCUUGUUGAGGCCUUAAAAGAUUUAGUUUCAGAUGCUGAACAUAGAUUUUGUUUGAGACACAUGUAUGAAAAUUUCAAAGUGAAAUUCAAAUCUGUUGAAUUGAAAGAAUACUUUUGGAAGGCAGUCUCAACUGCAAACAGAAGGGAAUUUGAGGGUUUAUGAAAAAAAUUAAAGAACUUGAUCCAGAGAUAAAAGUUGAUGUGGAAACAGCUUCUGAAUGGCUAAGAUAUAUUAAUCCAGAACAUUGGGCAAGAUCAAAUUUUCCAGUUCAUAGCAAAUGUGAUAUUUUGGUGAAUAACUUGUGUGAAAGCUUUAAUAAUUACAUACUUGAAGCAAGGGACAAACCAAUUAUAAGUAUGUUUGAGUGGAUUAGAACAAAAUUGAUGUCUAGGUUGCAAUUGAAAAGAUAGGGAAUGGAGAAGUAUGGAGGAUCAAUUUGUCCUAACAUCCUAAAGAAGAUAAACAAGCAACAACAUGCUGCAAGAAAUUGUUUCAUUAGGUGGUGUGGUGGGGGAGAGUAUGAAAUUGACCACUUCUUGACAAGUAUGUGGUUGACUUGGAGAAGAAAACAUGCAAUUGUGGCAUGUUUCAGUUAACAGGAUACCCAUGUUGUCAUGCUUGUUCAGCAAUUGUUUCAAAAAGGGCUAAGAAUAGAUGAUUAUGUGGAUGAUGUUUAUAAGAAGACAAUUUACCUCAAAGUGUAUAAUGACAUGAUACAUGCUAUCCCUGGGGUACAAGAUUACAUAAAAAUCAAUUUUCAGCCUUUUAAACCUCCUAAGAUUAAAAGGAAAAGGGGUAGACCUAAGAAACUUAGGAGAAAGGGUCCAAAUGAGCUGCAGUCAAACACAUCAACGCGAAAAGAAUUGACGCAUACCUGCAGCAAAUGCCUUCAAAUAAGCCACAACAAGGGCAGCUGCAAGAAUGAAAUACAUCCAAAGUAGAAGUUUUUCAAGGCAAAUAUUGCUGUUCCAGAAGAAAUCCCACAUGGAUCUCAAGCCCUCCCCCCUCUUUAAGCCAGGAACAACUAAGUAAAAAGUUUGCAGGCUACAUCAAAAGGAAAAAGAAAAAGCAGCAAUGUAGUACAACCACCUGCACCUGCACCUGCACCAGGCUUUGCAACCCAGCAGGUAGGCUAUUAAGGCCCUAGAAAUGCAUCAUUGUUGGGGAAUGAUACUCUAGCAGCUUGUUCAAUACCUGCAACUAGGAGAUACAACAAGAGGCCAACUAUUUCACAAGUUUUGGACAAGAUGAAAGAGAGACAAAAGAGAAGACAACAACAGUAGUUUAGACUGCAUCUUCAUCUUGUAAAUGGCCUGUUCCUUUUGUAAAUGUGAAAAAAAAUUAUCUAUACUAUGGCGCUCAGUUCCUUUUGUAAUG